rnacentral:rRNA from 1 species
AUGCCCAGGCCACAUCCGGCCGCCGGCAACACGUUCCACCCGCCAAAACGCGUCGUGGCACUUGUGCGCUGGAGCCGCCCUCCGUUGGGUUGGUGCAAGCUGAACUUUGACGGAUCAGUGAAGCAUGACGGGUCCGGGCGUGCCAGCAUCGGAGGGGUGAUCCGGAACAGCACUGGCCACGCCAUAGUGGCGUACGCGGAGAAGACGGAGCAUGCGGGCGUGGGCGUGGUGGAAGCUCGGGCGCUGAUGCGCGGGCUUGAGCUUGCGCUCGGGAUGGGGUGCAGCUCGCUGGUGGUGGAGGGAGACGAUCUGACCUUGGUCCGGCUGCUGCGCAGGGAGUCCCGGCACACGCGUAUCCCGUCGGCGAUGCACGACGAGAUUGUGCGACUCCUAGGCUGCUUCAGGGUUUGGCACGUGCAGCAUGUGUAUCGUGAGGGGAAUCAGGUGGCGGACACACUCUGCCACGAGGCUUACCGGUGCCCUGACGUCUGGACGAUGGACUGCCCGCUGCCGCUCGCCGUUUGGACCAAGGUGGAAUGCGACCGUCGUGGCGUUGUGUACGAGCGACUUCGACCGGCGUGA